GACAUAGGUGGCGAACGUUAUCCGGAUUUAUUGGGCGUAAAGAGCGUGUAGGCGGCUAGAUAGGUCCGUUGUGAAAACUCGAGGCUCAACCUCGAGACGUCGAUGGAAACCAUCUGGCUAGAGUCCGGAAGAGGAGAGUGGAAUUCCUGGUGUAGCGGUGAAAUGCGCAGAUAUCAGGAAGAACACCCGUGGCGAAGGCGGCUCUCUGGUACGUGACUGACGCUGAGACGCGAAAGCGUGGGGAGCAAACAGG
rnacentral:rRNA from 1 species